ensembl:lncRNA
GCAGCGUAGAGUAUAAACCAACACAUUCCAUGCUGUCUGUCAGUUGGUUCUUCUUCUCUGGUUUUGGAAGCAGCGUAGAGUAUACACCAACACAUUCCAUGCUGUCUGUCAGUUGGUUCUUCUUCUCUGGUUUUGGAAGCAGCGUAGAGUAUACACCAACACAUUCCAUGCUGUCUGUCAGUUGGUUCUUCUUCUCUGGUUUUGGAAGCAGCGUAGAGUAUACACCAACACAUUCCAUGCUGUAUGUCAGUUGGUUCUUCUUCUCUGGUUUUGGAAGCAGCGUAGAGUAUACACCAACACAUUCCAUGCCGUCUGUCAGUUGGUUCUUCUUCUCUGGUUUUGGAAGCAGCGUAGAGUAUACACCACCACAUUCCAUGCUGUCUGUCAGUUGGUUCUUCUUCUCUGGUUUUGGAAGCAGGGUAGAGUAUACACCAACACAUUCCAUGCUGUCUGUCAGUUGGUUCUUCUUCUCUGGUUUUGGAAGCAGCGUAGAGUAUACACCAACACAUUCCAUGCGGUCUGUCAGUUGGUUCUUCUUCUCUGGUUUUGGAAGCAGCGUAGAGUAUACACCAACACAUUCCAUGCUGUCUGUCAGUUGGUUGUCUCUCUCAAAAAAGGUGUUGAACACAAGCAGAUCUGGGAUCCAGGCUACCAACCUGCCUUGUGCUUCCUGCUGUCUAACACUUCAUGAUAGACGGACCGACGCUUCAUUAAUUCUACUCUGUCCACCAGCACAGCAUUUAAACUGCUUUUAUUUUGACAAACAAACGGGGCACUGAGCCUGGGGGACGAGGUGUCGUCUCUAGUCACUGAGCCUGGGGGACGAGGUGUCAUCUCUAGUCACCGAGCCUGGGGGACGAGGUGUCGUCUCUAGUCACUGAGCCUGGGGAUGAGGUGUCGUCUCUAGUCACUGAGCUUGGGGAUGAGGUUAGUGGAGGUGUUAUGCAAUCAUGAAGCGGGUUUUACCAACAUCAAAAGCUUUGGUUUCUGUUCAUCUGUUGGCUCUACUUUACAUAGACACCUUAUGCAACCAUGGAUUUAUACAGGAAGUCUUCCAUAGACCUACCAAUUCUUAGCCUGGCCCCAGAUCUGUUUCUACUGUCUAGCCAAAUCCUAAAUAGUGUUUGACAUGACAAUGACCAUAAGAGUUGGAUAUACAAACUAAUCUGAGUAUAGGCUAACAAAGCCCUACUCUGUGAACUAACUGGAGUCUGGUGGGCGUAUGGGGUGGACGGGUGGGCGUAUGGGGUGGUUGUUUGGGCGUAUAAAGCAAACGUCUUGGAACCAUUGCGACUUUGCAACUACUUAACAUGUUAGCUAACCCUUCCUCUAAAAUCAAAUCAAAAAAUCUAAUUUAUUUAUAAAAUCAAAUGUAUUUAUAUAGCCCUUCGUACAUCAGCUGAUAUCUCAAAGUGCUGUACAGAAACCCAGCCUAAAGCCCCAAACAGCAAGCAAUGCAGGUGUAGAAGCUCUAAUCUUAACAUGUUAGCUAACCCUUCCCCUUUAACGUAACUCCUAAACUAACUGUCAGCCAUCUAACUAGAAUUCGUAACAUAUCAUACGUUUUACAAAUUUGUUACAAUAUUGUACGUUUGGCAAAUUCGUAACAUACAAAAUGAAUACAUACGAAACAUAACAUAUCAUACCAAAUGGAGUGUCUCGGAUUUACAUAUAGAAUACUAGGAAAUGAUCUGAGACCAGGUUAUGGAACAAGGUACUAGACUAUCUUCAGACCAGGGCAGACCAGGGACUAUGAAAUACUCCCCCCACCGUUAACAAGCGCAUUACACUCUAUUUCGUCAUCCAGAUAAGGUCAGUGUAUGAAUUGAUAUUUAUCACUGUACCAUGCUUGUUCAGUGUUAUUUAUUACAUUUUUAAAAACUAACUGGCAACAAGUUAAAAAUUAUUAGUAUUUUUAAGAUGCUCAUUGAAAUAUUUAGCAAAUCACUAAGGAUCAAGGUUCAUUUGUGUACUUGUGUUAAUAUUUGCAACUACUGCACCAAGCUAAAUGACACAUUUACAUUCAGGGACAAGUUGGUUCAUCUUGACCCUCCGCUGUUAGUUACUGAUUGACUGGGGACCUGAUAUGAGUGAUGUUUUGUAACAAAGAUCCUUGCUGUCUUUUUCAAAAAGCGAUUUAUCAACUACAGUAUGUACAGUGGCAGAGCUGAGCUUUGGGAACGUUACACGUGUCACAUGGAAAGCAGUGGCAUAGUGGUGUUAAGUAACUUCACAGUAUAUUUUAGAAGCCUGAGUGUUGGACAUACAGGAUGGUAUAUUUUAGAAGCCUGAGUGUUGGACAUACAGGAUGAUCAUGGUCAGCUGGAAUGGAAUGACCCUAAACAUUGACCCAGAUAAAGGCUCUAUCCCAAAUGGCACCCUAUUCCCUACAUAGUACACUACAUUUAACCAGAGCCCUGUGGUCACAAGUAGUGUACUUUGACUGCUUGCAUCCCAAAUAGCACCCUAUCUUCUACUAUCUCCACGUUAUCGCGUUAUCUAUGAGAACUUACUAACCCUACCCUCCCUCUGGUUAUUUUCCCCACGUAGUACUGCCUGACUCACUCACAGCCUGUGACUAAAUCAAUGGCUUCACUAGCUGCUGAGGCUCAGUGACAUCACAAUGGCAGGUUGUGUUCUAAAUGGCUUCCCCUCACUAGCUGCUGAGGCUCAGUGACAUCACAAUGGCAGGUUGUGUUCUAAAUGGCUUCCCCUCACUAGCUGCUGAGGCUCAGUGACAUCACAAUGGCAGGUUGUGUUCUAAAUGGCUUCCCCUCACUAGCUGCUGAGGCUCAGUGACAUCACAAUGGCAGGUUGUGUUCUAAAUGGCUUCCCCUCACUAGCUGCUGAGGCUCAGUGACAUCACAAUGUCAGGGCUGUGUUCUAAAUGGCUUCCCCUCACUAGCUGCUGAGGAUCAGUGACAUCACAAUGGCAGGGUGUGUUCUAAAUGACACCCUCUUUCCUAUAUAUAGUGUACUACUUUUCAACAGGGCCCAUAGGGCUAUAGUCAAAAGUAUUGCACCACAUAAGGAAAAGGGUGCAAUUUUGGAUGCAGUGUAUGUAUGAGGACAUUCAGUCCCCAAUGACAACCUCAGUCCAUCCAAGCCCUUCACAGCAUCUCUCCACACACACACAGACUUAGACCAACAAAGAAGUCUCCUGGUCUCAGUGUAGUGGACUACAGAGCUAAAUAGGAAGGGGGGUUGAGGGUUGAGUCCCAAAUGGGUACCCUAGUCACAGAGACGGAGAUAUAUCAAACGAUCAACAGGGACUGCUGGCCGCCACCACCUGAUCAUUGAGGUAAAUUGAGCAUGGAAGGGUCUGCUGAUGAUCACUUCCAUUUUAUACUGAACAAAAAAAUGUAUGCAACGUGUUGGUCCCAUGUUUAAUGAGCUGAAAUAAACGAUCCCAG